GGACCCCCCCAGGCGGGCAGGACGAGCCCACCCUGGAGCAGAUCCGGACCCCCCAACAUGAGGAAGAGGAGGACGUGAACUUCGAGACAGAGCUGCUGACGACCCCCCCCGGGAUGAAGCGGGGGGUGGAGUUCAAGCCCCAAGCCGCGGCGGGGGGGCCGCUGUCCCUGUCCAGCCUCCUGGAGACCCUCGACACCUUCGACUUGGGGGGGGGCUCCGAGCCCGGGGGGGGCUCCGAGCCCCCGGGGGGGACCCCCAAAAAGGCUCAGGGGUCCCCCCAGACCCCCAAAACCGAGGGGGGGUCCAGCCCCGCGCCCCCCCCGC